rnacentral:lncRNA from 1 species
CAAAGGAAGAUAGCCAAAGUGUUGAAAGGUUUAGUCCUUGUGCAGUUUCUCCCUUGGCUUGGGUUGAGACCUUCAGGGAGAGGACCUGGAUCCCUGUCCAAUGUCCCCUUGAAGAAUGCUUUCCACACAUGGAUACAUUUCCCAGAGCCACCCGCCCUGUUGCAGAGCGCACACACAGCUCCUCUCACACACUCACCAUCCAGCUGCACACUGUGUCUCCAUGACAACCGGGAGGCCUGGUCCAGGGAUGUUAGAAAUAAGUGCCAGAGGAAAAGGAGAGAGGGAGGGAGGGAGGGAGAGGAAGAGAGAGAGAAUAUGAGGAGAGUAACAUCAGAAAUAAUGAGACUUAGAAAGGUAGCCUUUCCAGGAGGCCCCUAUUCUUCCCUGGCACCCCCUUCCAGGAAGACAUGAGUGGACUGAGGGAGGCCCUGAGGAUAUGGUGGGGACUAAGGACGGGCUAGGGGCUGUCUGGACACAGGUAAUGGGGCACAGUGGGCAGUGAGAGAGGAGCAGGAGCAAGGGGAGCUUGAAUGGCAGUGAGGAGUCAGGAUGAGGAUACUUGGUCUGGGUAAAAGGCAUAUGAGGGGUUGGGUGGGGGGUGGGGGACUUGGGGGAGCUACUUUCCCUUAUUCCAGGCCUAAUUGGCUGUUCCGGCUGAAACCACCUCUUAGUCACUUAGUCUAAUUACAAUUGUUCCAGAGAAGACUGUGGGGGAGGGGAAGGAGAUGCAGGGGUGUGAAGGGGGAAGGGUAGGUGAAGACAGAGUUGGGUGGGGGAGGGGUGGGAGUUCCUUCUCCGACCUUCUUCCCAUUCUAUCACCACGGGGUGGGUUGUAACUGACCAGGUUGGGGUCACUCUAACACUGGCCUCUCUAGUUGUCACUGCCUUCUCACACUCACCUGCUUUCUGCUCUGCCCUGUCCCCACCCAUGCUAUCUCUGUGUGUGUCUCUCUGGUUCUAGAUCUCUCUCACUCUCUCCUGCUUUCCCUUGAGAAUCACUCACCUUCCCUUUUCUCCUUCCUCAGAAUCUCCUGACCUGUGGCCAACCACAAAGAUUGUCUAACAGAUAAAGCCAGUGUGGUGGCCACCCCUGUCAUCCCUGCUACAAGGGAGGCUGAGGCAGGAGGUUUGCAAGUUUGAGGCCAGCUUCAGCAACCUUGGUGAGACUCUGUCUCAAAAUUUGAACGGGGAGGGGUGAUUUGAGGAG